UACGUAGGGGGCAAGCGUUAAUCGGAAUUACUGGGCGUAAAGCGUGCGCAGGCGGCGCGUUAAGACAGGUGUGAAAGCCCCGAGCUUAACUUGGGAAUUGCGCUUGUGACUGGCGAGCUGGAGUGUGGCAGAGGGAGGUGGAAUUCCACGUGUAGCAGUGAAAUGCGUAGAGAUGUGGAGGAACACCGAUGGCGAAGGCAGCCUCCUGGGCCAGCACUGACGCUCAUGCACGAAAGCGUGGGGAGCAAACAGG
rnacentral:rRNA from 1 species